rnacentral:rRNA from 1 species
UACGUAGGUGGCAAGCGUUGUCCGGAUUUACUGGGGCGUAAAGGGCGUGCAGGCGGUUUGUUAAGUCUAGGGUGAAAGCCCCUUGGCUCAACUGAGGAAGUGCAACCCGAAACUGAGUGGCUAGAGUACGAAAGAGGGUCGCGGAAUUCCCGGUGUAGAGGUGAAAUUCGUAGAUAUCGGGAGGAACACCGGUGGCGAAGGCGGCGACCUGGGUCGAUACUGACGCUGAUGCGCGAAAGGCG